rnacentral:rRNA from 1 species
UACGAAGGGGGCUAGCGUUGCUCGGAAUCACUGGGCGUAAAGGGCGCGUAGGCGGCCAUUCAAGUCAGAGGUGAAAGCCCAAGGCUCAACCUUGGAACUGCCUUUGAUACUGUUUGGCUUGAGACCGGUAGAGGUAAGUGGAACUGCGAGUGUAGAGGUGAAAUUCGUAGAUAUUCGGAAGAACACCAGUGGCGAAGGCGACUUACUGGACACGUAUUGACGCUGAGGUGCGAAAGCGUGGGGAGCAAACAGG